CCCCUAGAUGUUCUGGGCCGCACGCGCGCUACACUGAACAGCUCAACAAGUCUUAACCUUGGCCGAUAGGUCUGGGUAAUCUUUGAACGCUGUUCGUGAUUGGGAUAGACCUUUGCAAUUAUGGGUCUUCAACGAGGAAUUCCUAGUAAACGCAAGUCAUCAGCUUGCAUUGAUUACGUCCCUGCCCUUUGUACACACCGCCCGUCGCUCCUACCGAUUUCGAGUGGUCCGGUGAAUCUUUCGGACUGCGCGCAGCUUCGUGCCGUGUCGCGGAAAGUCAGGUAAACCUAAUCACUUAGAGGAAGGACAAGUCGUNACA
rnacentral:rRNA from 1 species